AUUGAACGCUGGCGGCAUGCUUUACACAUGCAAGUCGAACGGCAGCACGGACUUCGGUCUGGUGGCGAGUGGCGAACGGGUGAGUAAUACAUCGGAAUGUACCCAGUAAUGGGGGAUAACGCUUCGAAAGGAGUGCUAAUACCGCAUACGCACUGAGGGGGAAAGUGGGGACCGCAAGGCCUCACGUUAUUGGAGCAGCCGAUGGCUGAUUAGCUAGUUGGGGAGGUAAAGGCUCACCAAGGCGACGAUCAGUAGCGGGUCUUAGGGGACGAUCCGCCACACUGGAACUGAGACACGGUCCAGACUCCUACGGGAGGCAGCAGUGGGGAAUCUUGGACAAUGGGCGAAAGCCUGAUCCAGCAAUGCCGCGUGCGUGGAGAAGGCCUUCGGGUUGUAAAGCGCUUUUGUCUGGGAGCAAAUCCUGGCCUCUAAUACAGGUCGGGGAUGAGAGUACCAGAAGAAUAAGGACCGGCUAACUACGUGCCAGCCGCCGCAGUAACAC
rnacentral:rRNA from 1 species